AGUAUUUGUUGAAGAAGUUUUCGAAGGUAUUGCAGUUACCUUUUGACAGAUUAUUAAUUGAAGAUCGUCAAGUGAUUUAACAGAGUAUCGAUUGAUAAGAAAUAUGAAUGAAAGCUUAGAUAAUUGUACUACGAUCAAUGAAUUCAGGGGGUCUUGAGUCCGUCUUCGAGGAGAUUCAUGUUUACCGUCAGGGAGAGCCUAAGUAUAUUUUUUAAGUUAUGGUGAUAACUUGUUAAUGUAGCUUUAGGGUUAAGUUACAAACUUUUGAAUCUCAAUAAUAUUUCUUAUCUGAGCAAAUAAGCUCCCUAGAUGUAGGUCGUAUUUGCUGAACUGGGUUAUCAAAGUCUUCUG
rnacentral:lncRNA from 1 species